UACGAAGGGGGCUAGCGUUGCUCGGAAUUACUGGGCGUAAAGGGCGCGUAGGCGGACAUUUAAGUCGGGGGUGAAAGCCCAGGGCUCAACCCUGGAAUAGCCUUCGAUACUGGAUGUCUUGAGUUCGGGAGAGGUGAGUGGAAUUCCUGGUGUAGCGGUGAAAUGCGCAGAUAUCAGGAGGAACACCGGUGGCGAAGGCGGGUCUCUGGGCCGUAACUGACGCUGAGGCGCGAAAGCGUGGGGAGCGAUCCGG
rnacentral:rRNA from 1 species